rnacentral:rRNA from 1 species
CAAGGAAUAUUGCGCAAUGGGCGAAAGCCUGACGCAGCGACGCCGCGUGGGGGAAGAACGCCUUCGGGUCGUAAACCCCUUUUCCUAGGGAAGAAUAAUGACGGUACCUGGGGAAUAAGCAUCGGCUAUCUACGUGCCAGCAGCCGCGGUAAUACGUAGGAUGCUAGCGUUAUCCGGAUUUAUUGGGCGUAAAGAGGGUGUAGGCGGUUUGGUAAGUCGGUUGUAAAAUCUCCUGGCUUAACUAGGAGGGACCAUCCGAUACUGCCUGACUAGAGUGCAUCAGGAGGAGAUGGAAUUCCCGGUGUAGUGGUGAAAUGCGUAGAUAUCGGGAGGAACACCAGUGGCGAAGGCGGUCUCCUAGGAUGUUACUGACGCUGUGGCCCGAAAGCGUGGGGAGCAAACAGGAUCAGAUACCCUGGUAGUCCACGCUGUAAACGAUGGGCACUAGGUAUGGGGAGUAUCGACCCUCUCCGUGCCGAAGCUAACGCUUUAAGUGCCCCGCCUGGGGACUACGGUCGCAAGACUA